rnacentral:tRNA from 1 species
GAGGGUAUAGCUCAGGGGUAGAAUGCGUUCUUUGCAUGCAUGAGGUCCUAGGUUCAAUCCCCAGUACCUCCA